rnacentral:rRNA from 1 species
GAUGAACGCUGGCGGCGUGCUUAACACAUGCAAGUCGAACGUGAGAAUAGCAAUAUUUGAAAGUGGCAAACGGGUGAGUAACACGUGGGAACCUGCCUCGAAGUGGGGGAUAACGAUUGGAAACGGUCGCUAAUACCGCACGGUUCUGCUCUGAUGGGAAUGGAGCAGAUAAAGAUUUAUCGCUUUGAGAGGGGCCCGCGGCCGAUUAGCUAGUUGGUAAGGUAAAGGCUUACCAAGGCGAUUAUCGGUAGCUGGUCUGAGAGGACGAUCAGCCACACGGGAACUGAGACACGGUCCCGACUCCUACGGGGGGCAGCAGUGAGGAAUAUUGGGCAAUGGGCGAAAGCCUGACCCAGCAACGCCGCGUGGAGGAUGAAGGCUUUAGGGUUGUAAACUCCUUUUGUGGGGGAAAAGAAUGGAUGGUACCCCAAGAAUAAGUCACGGCUAACUACGUGCCAGCAGCCGCGGUAAAGCGUAUGUGUU